CACAUUUUCUCAUUAGAAUUGAGUCACUAUUUCGUUUAGUACAGAGCAAGUUGUCGUUGACUGCAACCUACCAUCAUGGACAAAUCUUCAACAUGUCCUGCAGUCAGAACAGCAGUGGUGGCUCACACAAAUUAUUGAAAAUUGAUUUUGAAAUUGAUAAGACCUGAAAGAUCAACCAAAGAAACUAAAAAUAUGGAAAAAUUAAAAAAAACAUCAAAAAGGUUUAUCUCGGGUUGAUGAUCUCAGUUGCUACUUUUAAGUACUGCUCCGUGUGUAAAUUAAGCACAUAGUUUACACACUAAGUAGCCCUUGACUAGAACCGUGUGGUCGCUCCUUAACUUAAGUACAAUUUAAGUACAUACGUUUUUCACAACUGAGAUCAACCAACCCUUUUCAACAAACCUCUCCCCCGGGAAUCGAACCUGCGGUCUUUGGUGCGCUUGCAGUCAAUCGAAACCCAAGUAACUAACCACCUGCGCUACGGUGGUAGGUGAUGAGACAUUCGUUAUGAUCUAAAAUCAAUUCUACAUUACACAUACACUCAAAAAUGUUCUGAUUUUAUUUGAAUAAAUGUAAUUUCACACC